UGUUAUAGUGAUAAACUGAGGCCUUGCCUUUUGGCUUUUCCGAGAAGGAAACGGGUAGGGGUCGGGGGGGGGCGAACCUCUUCACUUCCCCCAGGGAAGACAGAAAGAAGGGGCGAAGAAGGGGGAUGGGUGAAGAAGAGAAAAAUACGUGACAAAGAAAACAUUUUCUGCCUGGGAGGAGACUCACAGAGGGUGUAGAGCUGGAGGGAGCAUUCACUGGCCAUGCCAGUACUUACCACUGAUGCUGAGUCAGAAACAGGUAUCCCAAAAUCCCUUUCCAAUGAGCCUCCCUCAGAAACCAUGGAGGAAAUAGAGCACACAUGCCCACAGCCUCGACUGACCCUGACCGCACCUGCCCCAUUUGCUGAUGAAAGCAGCUGCCAGUGCCGAGCCCCCCAUGAGAAACUAACCAUCGCUCAGGCCCGCUUAGGAACACCAGUUGACAGGCCCGUCAGAGUCUAUGCGGAUGGAAUAUUUGACCUCUUCCAUUCUGGUCACGCAAGGGCACUUAUGCAAGCAAAAACCCUGUUUCCCAACAGCUACUUGUUGGUUGGAGUUUGCAGUGAUGACCUCACCCACAAGUUCAAAGGUUUCACCGUGAUGAACGAAGCAGAGAGAUAUGAGGCUCUCAGACACUGUCGCUAUGUGGAUGAAGUCAUUAGAGAUGCUCCGUGGACACUCACUCCAGAGUUUCUGGAAAAACACAAGAUUGACUUUGUGGCCCACGAUGACAUUCCCUACUCUUCUGCCGGCUCUGAUGAUGUUUACAAGCAUAUAAAGGAAGCAGGAAUGUUCGUUCCAACGCAGAGAACGGAAGGCAUCUCAACAUCAGACAUCAUCACCAGAAUCGUCCGUGACUACGAUGUGUAUGCCCGACGCAACCUCCAGAGAGGGUACACAGCCAAGGAGCUAAAUGUCAGCUUUAUAAAUGAGAAGAAGUACCGCUUCCAAAACCAGGUAGACAAGAUGAAGGAAAAGGUCAAGAAUGUGGAGGAAAGAUCAAAGGAAUUUGUCAACAGAGUGGAAGAAAAGAGUCAUGAUCUAAUUCAAAAGUGGGAAGAGAAGUCGAGGGAAUUCAUUGGCAACUUCCUGGAGCUGUUUGGGCCUGACGGUGCAUGGAAGCAGAUGUUCCAGGAGAGGAGUAGCCGGAUGCUGCAGGCCUUGUCCCCGAAGCAGAGCCCUGUGAGCAGCCCCACCAGGAGCCGGUCCCCCUCCCGCUCCCCGUCGCCCACCUUCUCGUGGCUCCCCAACAAAACCUCACCCCCCUCCUCGCCCAAAGCAGCCUCAGCCUCCAUCAGCAGCAUGAGUGAGGGGGAUGAGGAUGAGAAGUAAAGGCUGCCGGCAGACAGCAAGGGCCGCACCACACAGGCUGGGGCGAGGGCAGGGUCACCGGUGUGCCUGGGUGGGGUUGGAAGGUUAACAGUGGUCGCAGGAGCUACAGCUCAGCUAAAGGAAGGCCUGGGGACAAGCUCUCCCUCAGUCUCCACUCAGCCUAAGACUUGGGCUCUGCAUGGAGGUUUCCAGCCGGACAACCUUUACAAACCUUCUUAGCAGCAUCUAGAAUCACUCUACUUUAACCUUGCUAAGGAAGGAAGCAGAGCACCCCCAGGAGACUCGCACUGACUCGGGUGUCUUCUGCUUUGGUCCUUACACUCACCCCUACGAAGUCCACCACCCCUGGAAGCGGCUGUUCCCUCAAUCUGCUACUUCCAGCUCAUAAGGGCGCUGCACGUUGCCUCCUACCACCCAAGCUCUGCCAGAAUAAAGUUGUUUCUGAUAGAGGUGGCAAAGUGCUUCUAAAAUAGUCAAGUGAAAGACAAAUUCCAAUCUUCUCAGUUUAGCCACUGAGGCCUGAUGUUGCAACACAUCAGUUCUUUCCAGUUCUAGGAAUGUGGUGCAUAGACAAAGACAUGCUUUAGGCCAGAUAUAUAAAAAGCCAUCUAGCAUGAACCUUAACUUCUUAUUCAGAGGACAGUUCAGUUGAGGAGAAUGCCACAGAAGGCCUAAAAUGUUCCUAGUUGUACUUUUCAUCAUUGGUUUGACUUUAUGGUUUCUAGAAAUUACCUUAAUCUGUGGGAAAUGCAACAAAGAAAAACAUUUUAUAUAUGUGUGUGUAUAUAUAUGGUUAUAUAUAUAUAUAAUAUGUGUAUAUAUUAUAUAUAUAAAGAGAAGUUGCUUUGCUUUGGCUCUGAGUUUAGCAGAUGGUAAAUGUCUCCUGGAACUUCUCCUUAAAGGAUGCUAACUCUGGAACGGCUUUUCCCAUUUCUGACCAGUUAACAAUUUCAUAGGCCUCAAGUAACAAGUUUGAUGUACGAAACCACAUAGUAUACCAAUAGGGGGUGCUACCUGCACGUAUCUGUCCUCUAUAUGCUCCCAAUACGCUAUCCAGGGUGUAUACCAUAUGCAAUAUGAAUAUAUGGUGGUAGCCUUUUACAAUAUACACUCCUGCUCUCAUCCGAAUCCCCUGCUGAAAUCCUUGGUCUAAAGGACUACCUGGUUCCCUUGUGACUUGGGCACUUUGUCAAAAAUCCAUCCCGGAUUCCUGUAGAAAUGUCUUGUCCCAACCAGGAAACGAGUAUGUUGUUCUCAUGGCCUUCCAUCAUGUUUUUGGCUGGAGGGAGGCUCUGGAGAGUUUCCCAGAGCACUGUGGGAACCUCAGUUUGAUCUUAGCAUUGAAAUGGUCUACAUGGUUAUAUAGUUAGCCCUGGCCUUAGGUUUGCCAAAUGAGAUGAAGAGCCUAAGCAUUGCUGCUGAGUUGUUUGAAGUUACUGUCCACUAAUGACGGGUAGGAAAGGAGCAGGUGGAGUUAGGGUGUAGAACCACGCUCCUAGGUAGAUGAGGCAUUGCCUGUCUGUGCCAGGAAAGCCAGAGGGAGAGCUGGGGCCUGGCUGAGCAGAGGCCCAAACCAGCAACUUGUGGGCAGAGCUCAGCAUCUCCUGUGACAGAAACACCCCUUUUCAGAGGCCUUGGGAACCUGCCUUCUGGGUGAGAUGUGGGGCAACCAAUGAAGGAAGGUGGCAUGUCUUUCCCCCUUGUGUCGGGGUUGAACUACCUCCCUGCCCACCUGGAGAUAAGUGGUGUUUACUGGGAAGCAAAACCAUGAGGCUGAGCUGGCUUGGAAUCCCCUUGUUCCUGGCACGCUCUCCAGAGUUCUGUUGAGCGCUCACAUGGGACAAAAGGCUGGCGGGAACGUGGCGCAUGAAAAGGAAGCUUUCUGUAGCCAAGGCCUAGAGCACUGCUCUGCAGAGGGAGCGAGGCCCCAGCUUUCCAUUGUGCCCCUCUGCUCGCUCUUCCGUCACACAGCCAGGGCCAACUGGCACAGAGACCUCGUUCCAGCUGGUUGACACUGGGGGCAGUGCAAGGAUGAGCACAGCCAGGCAGAGUGAGGUGGGGAGAACAAGGGCAGAAAAAAGGAGUGAAGAGGGGCCUGGAGAGAGGGAAGGCCAUUAUAGAAAAUCUGUGCUCUCAACCAGUUUCUGGACCUCGCUGUGUAGGGGCAACUAUUUUGGGAAGGCCUUUUAUAUGCUUAUUCCAUGGCCCAGAGCAGACAGAUCCACUCUUCCUUGAACUGUGCUCUGGAGCAAGUAAUGUGGGGCUCUCCCAGGCUGAUUCUGGGCUUGCAGGCCUUACACACCAUACUGACGGGUGCCCCUCAUGUGACUCAGACUCAGUGCCCUCACAGCUGCCGGUGAUGGGACACGACCGACACCUGGUUUAUUCCAGGGACAGGCCGAAACCACCCACAAACCAUUCUAAAUCUCACCUUAUGUCCCCACGCUGUCCUCUAACAAUCCCUCCCUGCUGUCCUAAGGCUAUGAGACUACUGAGAAGGGAUGGGGGCGGGGAUUCUGCAACCCAACUUGUAAUGCUCCUGGCCAUCAGUGUCUUCCAGAUCCCCCUUCCCAGAAGAAGAUGGGGGUGCCCUUCAUUUGGGUCAACCCAUCAACAGUCAUGGCCAUGAGUGAGUCAGGGCUGGAGUGAGAGACAUACAAAUCACGUGCAGGUUUGAGGAGGCAAGCAGAAAUGACAGAAAGGAAGUGUUCCUUCUGCCCUAGAAAGAAAAGGAAGCUUUAGACUGAGGACUACAGAACAGUACUGAGGGUUGCAGAGGAGGGGGCAGGAUAGGAAGAAGGGUGGGUGAAACGGGCUGGAGGGGAAGGAGUGGGGGAGCAAGGACUUUCUGCUCCCUUUCAAAGUGUUGCUCACCCCCUAACAGGUGAAGAAGGAAGGCUUCCUUUCACAGACGCCCAAGACUUUUUUUGUCACUGCAAUGUGUCCUGGGACAAAGCCAUAAGAAGAGCAUACAUACUUAAGACUCUGCUGUACAUAAGACGAAGACUCGUCUGGGUUCAAGUAGGAUCUUACGCCCAAGCAUUUGCUCUGGUGCUGAAUAACGCGAACUACUGGAAUCAGCCCUCCACCCCUGGCCCCUCGUCCCUCCGCAACCCACUCCCGCUCCCCAACUGAACACAGCAUUCCCAACUUGUUUAUAAAUAAAGGGAUAUGUAAUUGCA